UAACAAACUUUUCUCGUUAGCCAUGAGUUCGAAUGAUGUAAGAAUGAGAACUCAUAAAUAUUUCUUAUUCUAGAAGCCUUUGAGUUCUUCGAGUAUGGAAACCGACAGUAUUUAUCGAAGUCAAUAAAAUAGUUACAGUUUAGGGUUUUCUUCUUCUUCUUUUCACCAAGCUUCCUUCACAAUGGCGAACCCAAACCAAUCCGUCUGGACUUGCAGACUAAAAGUCGAUCUAAAGUGUUGCACCGGUUGCCAAAAAAAAAG